ensembl:lncRNA
GACUCAAGCAGUUGCUAAUGAAGGAAGUGAGAGAAGGCAGAGACAAAGGAAACGCCGUUUAAACAAGUAAUGAUAGCCUAGGAUAUAAUUGACAGGAGAAAGAAGAGUUGGGAGGAGCUGUUACAACAAAGAAUCCAUUGGAGGACCCUGAGAGUUCGAAAUGUAGUGGCUCUUCAUUGGCUGAGCUGUGAUAAUCUCUCAUUGACUGAGCUUUUGCCAGGGUGACGUCCAGACAAGAGUAUGAGAAUCCUUAGUUGCCACACGAAUGCCUCAUUGGAAUGAAGAACAUGAGAUUUCAUUUGUGAGGAGGAACCCAAGAAGAGCGAUCAUUCUCUUCUAACAGCUUAUAAAGAUGUGAAUAGAAUUGUUUUUGUUUUCACUUCUUUCCUCAGGACUCUCUCAACAGUCCUAAUAGGAGACUGUGGUAAGCAACACAGUCCCCGCUGUACGGGAACAGAAUUUACUGCCCUAUAAUAUGUCUCUCUGGCAUAUUAGUUGUUUUUUGUUUUGUUUUGUUUACUACAGCAAACACUUUUAAUAAGAACACAAAAUUUGCACAACAGGCAUGUUCUGGGGAAUGUAAACGAACUAUCACAAGUAGUAAUUCUGCUGGAAGAAUAAAAUAAGGCUCUCUCAGAGUACAAAUGUACAGGAGGGAAUGAUUUAAAAUAGGUUCAUGAUUUAUAGUCACAUUAUACUGUGUUAAACACUGAAAACAAGCAUAUUAAUUAAAAAGCCAGCUAAAUGCCAAUUGAACACAUAUACAAAUGUUAGUCCACAAAGUUCAUGUUAACAGUUUUAAGUACUUCAUUUCAACACAAAAGAAAUGAACAAGUGAAGGGAUACAUG